UACAGAGGAGCCAAGCGUUGUCCGGAUUGACUGGGCGUAAAGCGCACGCAGGCGGACGCGCGCGUGGGGUGUGAAAUCUGGCCGCUUAACGGCCAGGCGCCAUCCCAUACGGCGCGUCUGGAGUGAUGCAGAGGUCGAUGGAAUUGCCGGUGUAGUGGUGAAAUGCGUAGAGAUCGGCAGGAACACCCAGGGGGAAACCAGUCGACUGGGCAUCUACUGACGCUGAGGUGCGAGAGCGUGGGGAGCGAACGG
rnacentral:rRNA from 1 species